CAGUCCAGCAGACAUAAGGUAUAAUUUCUAUACAACACCAUCCAUAUUUCAGCAUUCCAAGAAAGGCAGCAGGUGCCAAUUAUGCACCCGUCUUCAUGCCUCUGUUUUGUUGUUGUUUGGUUUUUUUUUUUCUUUUAAGUUUUAUCUAUUCAAGGUGGUGAGGUAUUGUAUGCACCGACAUUCACCCCCCCUUGCUUCCCCCUCCCAUGUAAUGAAGAGCUGAUUCAGCGAAUAGAAUGAGAGAGCACUCAGGAUGAGAUGGCUGCUGCUGAUGUGUCUCUAGGUCAUUACCUCUCUUCCAACUGCAAAUGCUGCAUGAUACUAAGCUUACAGGACACUAGAAGCAAACUGUACACCAGCAUGGAAAUCUGCUAGAAGACCUGUGAGGAAGCUCAAGUUUUCACAGUGGAAUACAACUAUGAAUCCCAAGAAAACAUGUUCAGAGCUACCAGCAAUUCAACUCUCCACUCAGACUUGAUCACUCAGAAUGAACAGCAAGAGGCUGCAAAAAUCUGGAAAAGCACUUCUCAUGUCCAUGCCAUCCCUGAACAAUGAACUAAAACCGGCUUUAAGCCACUGUGCAGGUAAAUUGCAUUGUAAAGUUCAGUCAGAAUACUAAGUUUAUUUUCUAACAAAAGUUAGUCAUAAUAUUGUUCUACCAAAGAAUUGCCAGGCUGGGUUUUACCUAACAACAGCCAACAGGAAGCAGCAAAAUACUUCUCAGGUUCAUCUGACAGGUAGUUGAGCAACUCUGUGUGUGCCUGCUCAGAGUACAUACUUCUUUAUGUACCCAUAUGAACAUACAAUGCUAUGGAAUGUAAAGAAGUAUGUAUUUUUGGCAGGCACGGAACGACCAGUAAGAGGAAACUAAACAGCUGUUGGAAGAAACAGGUUUCCCUCUUGUUUAAAUGACAUUCAUGUGACAAAUUAGCUUGCUAAGGGUCAGGUGGUAUUGCCAAAAUAACUCAUACUUGUUAGUAACAAAUCACAAAACAUCAAAUUAAGUGACUACAAAAGUGGGUAGGAAGAAUUGUUAACAGCUGAUAAGCAGACCAUUAGCUGUAAAUAAAGAAUUCAAAA